rnacentral:lncRNA from 1 species
AUAUCAUUGGGCAUUUUCUGCUCCUAUUCCUCAUCAGCCGCUUAAUCAAUUGCCCAUACACUCGUACAGUUAGCAAAGAGUGACUCCUAAAAAACCGAAUGCACCCUGAGACUGUUGCAUGCUAACAAGAGGGUGCAGGUGUAGUCAGUUAGCCACUAGCCAGGACUGUGCGUGUGGUCUUGGAUGCUGGUUGACACCAACCUGGUAACGGCCUUUCUGAACUGUAUGGUUGUUGGAGGCUUGGAGCAUUGCAUUGCUGGUGACGUUUUUUUGUUUUUUUUGUUUUGGGGGGGUAGAGCCCGCUGGUUUCAUUGAGGAAAU